GACGAACGCUGGCGGCGUGCUUAACACAUGCAAGUCGAACGGAAAGGCCCUGCUUUUGUGGGGUGCUCGAGUGGCGAACGGGUGAGUAACACGUGAGUAACCUGCCCUUGUCUUUGGGAUAACUUCAGGAAACUGGGGCUAAUACCGGAUAGGAGCUCCUGCUGCAUGGUGGGGGUUGGAAAGUUUCGGCGGUUGGGGAUGGACUCGCGGCUUAUCCGCUUGUUGGUGGGGUAGUGGCUUACCAAGGCUUUGACGGGUAGCCGGCCUGAGAGGGUGACCGGCCACAUUGGGACUGAGAUACGGCCCAGACGGCUACGGGAGGCAGCAGUGGGGAAUAUUGCACAAUGGGCGGAAGCCUGAUGCAGCAACGCCGCGUGCGGGAUGACGGCCUUCGGGUUGUAAACCGCUUUCGCCUGUGACGAAGCGUGAGUGACGGUAAUGGGUAAAGAAGCACCGGCUAACUACGUG
rnacentral:rRNA from 1 species